GAUGAACGCUGGCGGCGUGCUUAACACAUGCAAGUCGAACGAGAAAUGGAGACGGAAGCCUUCGUGCGGAUAGCUUCAUUUCGAUUGGCGGACGGGUGAUUAACUCGUUGUUAACCUGCCUCAUACAGGGGGAUAACAGUUGGAAACGACUGUUAAUACCGCAUAAGACCACAGCACCGCAUGAUGCGGGUUUAAAAACUCCUGUUGAAUGAUAUGGACCCGCUUUCGAUUAGACAGUUGGCAGGGUAACGGCCCACCAAAGCGACAAUCGAUAGCCGAUAUGAGAGGAUGACCGGACACACUGGGACUGAGACACGGCAGAGAAUCCUACGGGAGGCAGGAGUGGGGAAUAUUGCAAAACGGGGGAAGCCAUGAUGCAGCGCCGCCGGGUGAGUGAAGAAGUAAUUCAGUAUGUAAUGCUUUAUUAGCAGGGCAGAACAUGACGGUACCUGAGUAAGAAGCCACGGCUAACUACGUG
rnacentral:rRNA from 1 species